UACGUAGGGGGCAAGCGUUGUCCGGAAUCAUUGGGCGUAAAGCGCGUGUAGGCGGUUCGGUAAGUCCGCUGUGAAAGUCGGGGGCUCAACCCUCGGAUGCCGGUGGAUACUGUCAAGCUUGAGUACGGAAGAGGCGAGUGGAAUUCCUGGUGUAGCGGUGAAAUGCGCAGAUAUCAGGAGGAACACCAAUUGCGAAGGCAGCUCGCUGGGACGUUACUGACGCUGAGACGCGAAAGCGUGGGGAGCAAACAGG
rnacentral:rRNA from 1 species